UACGUAGGGUCCGAGCGUUGUCCGGAAUUAUUGGGCGUAAAGGGCUCGUAGGCGGUUCGUCACGUCGGGAGUGAAAACUCGGAGCUUAACUCCGAGCCUGCUUCCGAUACGGGCAGACUAGAGGUAGGCAGGGGAGAGCGGAACUCCUGGUGUAGCGGUGGAAUGCGCAGAUAUCAGGAAGAACACCCGUGGCGAAGGCGGCUCUCUGGGACGGUACUGACGCUGAGACGCGAAAGCGUGGGGAGCAAACAGG
rnacentral:rRNA from 1 species